GACGAACGCUGGCGGCGUGCUUAACACAUGCAAGUCGAACGGAAAGGCCCUGCUUUUGUGGGGUGCUCGAGUGGCGAACGGGUGAGUAACACGUGAGUAACCUGCCCUUGACUUUGGGAUAACUUCAGGAAACUGGGGCUAAUACCGGAUAGGAGCUCCUGCUGCAUGGUGGGGGUUGGAAAGUUUCGGCGGUUGGGGAUGGACUCGCGGCUUAUCAGCUUGUUGGUGGGGUAGUGGCUUACCAAGGCUUUGACGGGUAGCCGGCCUGAGAGGGUGACCGGGCCCAAUGGGACAGAGAGACGCCCCGAACUCAGACAGGAGGCAGAGGAGUGGAAGAUUGUACAAGGUGCGGGAGACUGUGCCACCAAAGCGGCGUGUGCGAUAAGGGGCUCCUGGGGUUAAACACCGCUUUCCCGUGUGACAACGCGAGAGAGAGUAAAGUGGAUAAAGACGCACCCUCUCAAUAUG
rnacentral:rRNA from 1 species